AAAGCUGCCCAACUAGAAACCCCAAAAGGCAAGAGAACUACGAUACCCACAAUUCAGGCUCCUCACCCGAAACCAGAAGAGGGCGUAUGGCUAGAGUUUCACCCUAAGAAGAAAGGGGAAGCAGGUGGAAAAGCAAUUAAAAAAAAAUCAGAUUCUCUUUUGGUGAUUCAGAGCUGAAGGUGCCUCACUGCCCUGUGGAACAGGUGAAUAAAGCCUUUCCAGCAUCUCUCUCUAGCCUAUUAUCUCCUGUUAGACACAGCCCAGAAAAUGAAUAGAGACAAGUCCUGGCUGGGUCUGGGUUCAGAAACAUAAUAGAAGGAUUCAUCUAAAGGAAGGGAAUUCUUUCCACAGUUGCUAGUUCCUCACACCUCUGCCUCUAUGGGAUUCUCCUGGUCCCCACAUGCUCUGCUGUGUCUUCUAGCUGUCAGCCACUGUGGAGGAAGUGAACCUUCUAGAUCCUGCUGACUCAUACAAUGAGUUUUGUGUGGACCAUCAGACAAAAGGGCUGACUGGUGAAGGUGGCUGUUGUCUGGAAAGUCCUCCCAGCUCUCCUCUAAUUAUGUCAUAAGGACUGGAGGCCCCUUAGCCUGCUUGUGAUAACACGCAAGGAAAUACGGGCCAACUCUUCACAUGAGCACAAGAUAUUUCCAUGCUAGCCUUUUGCAAGUAACAACAGAGAGAGCUCUGUGCAGUUUUCACUGGAAUGCCUAUGGAUUGCUUGUGUCAUAACUGUAAUCUAAAGAGUUGUCCAUUUGUUGAUUCCUUUGUGUUUGUAUUGGUAGAAUUGCCACUAUCAAACCAAGAUCUUUAGCUGUCUUUGUAUCAACUUCUUUGGAGCUUAUGUGAUUUUCCAGAAAAUUUCCAAGGCAUAGUUUUGUCCCUAAGUCCCAUGAAUAUGUAAUAUUUUGUGUCUCUCUAUUAAAAUAGCACUUUUUGUGCAUUCC
rnacentral:lncRNA from 1 species